rnacentral:rRNA from 1 species
UACGUAGGGGGCGAGCGUUGUACGAAGUUACUGGGUGUAAAGCGCGCGUAGGCGGGCUGAUAAGUCGGGAGUGAAAGGAUAGGGCUCAACCGGAGCAGUGCUUCCGAUACUGUCAGUCUUGAGGGCGGUAGAGAGGAGUGGAAUGGCUGGUGUAGCGGUGAAAUGCGUAGAUAUCAGUCGGAACACCGGUGGCGAAGGCGGCUUCUUGGGCCGUACCUGACGCUGAGGCGAGAAAGCCAGGGGAGCGAACGGG